rnacentral:rRNA from 1 species
CCUACGGGAGGCAGCAGUAGGGAAUAUUGCUCAAUGGGGGAAACCCUGAAGCAGCAACGCCGCGUGGAGGAUGAAGGUUUUCGGAUUGUAAACUCCUUUUGUUAGAGAAGAUAAUGUCGGUAUCUAACGGAUAAGCACCGGUCAACUCCGUGCCAGCAGCCGCGGUAAUACGGAGGGUGCACGCGUUACUCGGAAUCACUGGGCGGAAAGAGCGCGUAGGCGGGAUAGCAAGUCAGAUGUGAAAUCCUAUGGCUUAACCAGAGAACUGCAUUUGAAACUAUUCUUCUAGAGUAUGGGAGAGGUAGGUGGAAUUCCUGGUGUAGGGGUAAAAUGCGUAGAGAUCAAGAGGAAUACUCAUUGCGAAGGCGACCUGCUAGAACAUAACUGACGCUGAUGCGCGAAAGCGUGGGGAGCAAACAGGAUUAGAUACCCUAGUAGUC